rnacentral:rRNA from 1 species
GUGAGGAAUAUUGGUCAAUGGGCGGGAGCCUGAACCAGCCAAGUCGCGUGAAGGAAGAAGGAUCUAUGGUUCGUAAACUUCUUUUGCAGGGGAAUAAAGUGCAGGACGUGUCCUGUUUUGUAUGUACCCUGAGAAUAAGGAUCGGCUAACUCCGUGCCAGCAGCCGCGGUAAUACGGAGGAUCCGAGCGUUAUCCGGAUUUAUUGGGUUUAAAGGGUGCGUAGGUGGUUUGAUAAGUCAGCGGUGAAAGUUUGCAGCUUAACUGUAAAAAUGCCGUUGAAACUGUCGGACUUGAGUGUAAAUGAGGUAGGCGGAAUGCGUGGUGUAGCGGUGAAAUGCAUAGAUAUCACGCAGAACUCCGAUUGUGAAGGCAGCUUACUAAGCUACAACUGACACUGAAGCACGAAAGCGUGGGGAUCAAACAGGAUUAGAUACCCGGGUAGUCC